CGUCUAUACUUUUAAACCACGCGAGAGCUUCAAGCGUGUUUAAUUAAAACACGCGAGAGCUUCUCGCGUCUAUACCAUGGCUGGAAUCUUGUUUUUUCAGAGUCCAAAUGGCGGAUACAUUUUUGCCAUAACGUCUCUUCUUGGAAUUUUGCCCUCAAUUCUAUCGGUCUCUCUCUCAUAUCUCAUUUUCAAUUUCUCAAAUUGGGGAAGAAAUCCCUAAUCCCAUCCCCCUCCUCCAUCUCAGCGAAAUCGCCGCUCCACCUGGUCGCCGGAGCGUCGCCGGCUCCAGCUCCUCGGCGUCACGGAGUCGCCGGCGGCUCGUGCCAGCACCCUCCGUCUCCGUCCAGCUCUCUCCCUUUUCCGGACAGAACAACGCCUCUUCCCUCUCUCGUCUUCUCCGGCGAAUUCACGCUCGGAGCGACCCCUUUCGCGGUCGACCGACGUUGUUCGUUGCUCUCCCAGACAGCCCCUUCAGCUGCUCAAACCUCCGCCACUUUCUCUCUCUCGGCUGCAUCACUGGGCAACUGCCACUGUCGCCAGCUAUGGACCGGCGACGAGCCGCUGUCACCAGCAUCUUCGCAGAGUCGCCGUCGACGCUGACUCUGGCGUGAGACACGGCGCCGGACUUCGUCCGUCGGUGACCGAAGUCAGCAGCCGUUGUCUACCCACACCGCUACAACCUGCGGCUCAUCCGGCUGCCCCCUCUCCUCGUAGCUAAGUCUCGUAUUUAUGUUCUUAGUUUACACCUUAGUCUAGAUUUCCAAUUUUGAGCAUGUCGGAGCUUUGUGAUGUUGGAGAUCUUGGCUAAUGUGUUUUAGAGUUGUGAUUUUGGGGAAAGUUUAGUUCACUGGAAAGAGUCCUGAUUUGAAAAAAAAACGUGAAGGUUGCUAUCUUGCAUAAUUUAAGCAUACUGUUUCUUUGUGAGAAAUGGUAGACUGCCUUGUACAAAAGAUUUUAGGAGUAAGAUUCCUAGAGUGAAGAUGCUGUUAAGACCUCUAUUUGUGAUUGAAAUUAUAAGUUUCUAUCUGUGAACAAAGCAGCAGUAUAGGGUAGCUGCUGACAUGAUUCAAGCUUAGAAUGCUGUGCCUACUUGAUUUUCAAGUGUUCAUACUUUCAUGUUUCUAUCAUAUGGAGGAAGGAGUGUUACCUCUUGAAAGUAGCUACUGCUCUUGAGCCUCUGCUCCUAGAACUCAAAACUCUUAACUCUCAAAACUCACUAUGUUGCUGGAAAAUUCCAAGUAUGUGGAAGGGAGUUCAUAGGUGGUGUGGAGGGUUUUUUUUUAUAUAGGCAGAGUGUGUACUCGUGAAGCCUUAAUUGGAGCUGCUGUAUUUCUUUGUUCUUUUCCUACAGCAAAUCCUCUUUUUUUUUUUAUGAUUCUGCAGCAACUUUAACUGAAAUUUUUGGUGGUGGUUUUGCAGGUACAAGGAAGGAUGCAGGGGUUUGUUGGGAGUAGGAGAUGGCUACUCUAAUUUGGGGAACCUUGGGCUGUCAUGUUGCUGUCCGAGACACGGGCUCGCUGCCCUCGGCCCGACGGCUGCUUCGGACAUGGCCAUGGAGGGUGUGAUUCGGGCUUGGGGAGAAGAGGCCCAAGUGUAUAUCUUGUAUUCUUAAAUUCCUUUGUACAAAAACUUUGGUUCAUAUACAUCCACUUAGGGAUGUCAAUUUAGCCCGUAACCCGUGGGCUGACCCGAA